AACGCCCCUUCCUCGGUGGCAAGCCCUCUCUCUCAGGCAGCCAAUCAUCGGCCACGGAUCGUGUCACGUGAGCCCGCGGUUCGGCCCGCCACCCUGGAAUGAACCGGCUAAUCGCCUUGCCGAAGGGCGAACGGCCCAAUCAAAUCUCUCCAUCCGGUGUUGGAGCACCGGAUUUCCACGAGGCGCUCGGGGGCGGGAGGCCGCCGUUGAUUGGGCUGCGCUGCCGGAAGCGGGGAGGAAAUUUGUUGUGGCGGUGAGGAAGAGGAAGCCCCGAAGGGUCAAAAGGAAUACAAAAGCAAAGUCUGCUCGCUUGCUUUAAACCGUUGUCCUUUCUGUCUUUCUGUCCUAUUUUUUUAAGAGCGAGCGGCCUUGGCGGCGGCGGUUUGGGUUAGACGCCGCGGAGGUGAGGGAGGCUCUCCUCCCGCGCUCUGGGAGGUCUGUCACCUCCCUGCUGUUAGACUGGACUUGACUAAGACUCCUUGAGUCCCUGAGAUUCUCCAUUAGAAUCUGCUUUGGAGAUUUCCCCCCUGCAGACUGUUCCAUUAUGGAUGGAGGAGAUGAUGGUAACCUUGUCAUCAAAAAGAGGUUUGUGUCCGAGGCAGAGCUAGAUGAGCGGCGCAAAAGGAGGCAAGAAGAGUGGGAAAAGGUUCGAAAACCAGAAGAUCCACAAGAAUGUCCAGAGGAGGCCUAUGACCCCCGGUCUCUGUACGAACGGCUCCAGGAGCAGAAAGACAGGAAGCAGCAGGAGUAUGAGGAGCAGUUCAAAUUCAAAAAUAUGGUAAGAGGUUUAGAUGAAGAUGAGACCAACUUCCUUGAUGAGGUCUCUCGUCAGCAGGAACUGAUAGAAAAGCAGCGGCGAGAAGAAGAGCUGGAGGAGCUGAAGGAGUACAGAAGUAAUCUCAACAAGGUUGGAAUUUCUGCAGAAAAUAAAGAAGUAGAGAAGAAGCUGGCUGUGAAACCCAUAGAAACCAAGAGCAAGUUCUCCCAGGCUAAGCUGUUGGCAGGAGCUGUGAAGCAUAAGAGCUCAGAGAGUGGCAAUAGUGUGAAAAGACUGAAACCAGACCCCGACCCAGGUGACAAGGCUCAAGAGGCUCCGUCCUGCGUGUCUCUUGGAAGCUCUUCUCUGAGUGGCCCCUCCAUCCACUGCCCAUCUGCUGCUGUCUGCAUCGGCAUCCUCCCGGGCCUGGGUGCCUACUCCGGGAGCAGUGACUCCGAGUCCAGUUCAGACAGUGAAGGCACCAUCAACGCUACAGGGAAGAUCGUCUCCUCCAUCUUCCGAACCAACACCUUCCUCGAAGCACCCUAGCUCCUGACAUUACCAUAGGGAGCAUCUCCCCAGAGGGGUAAAUGCCUGUUCUGACUCAACAUCACCUCCUCAGAAAACUUCUUCACCUGCUUCCUGUGUACAUGUGACGUUUUAACCUAACCUAGAAUUGUGCCAUAGUCCACUUGUGGCUCAAACUCUGCUUGGUUUCUCUUUAUGCUCCAGUGCAGAUGACCAAACCAGUCCCAGGGGUAGGAGUUGGGGUUCAGGCAAGUCUCAGAAAUGCCACUGGUGGUGCAAGGACAGGCACCAGCUGGCUUGCAAGGGUUCUCCGUACCUUGUUGCUUUCUUGUUUUUCUCCUUUCCUAGUAGCACAGGAAGCAUUAACUUGAUACACUAUUGUAGGUGAAGGGGCUGCUUGGCUCUGCCAUGUUGUGUGUGGCAUAGAGAAGGGCUGACUAGCUGCUGACCUGAGUUCUGCCCUAGGUCUGACCCUUCCUGGAUGUUGUGUGACUAAAGAUUGCAAACCACACCCACAAGGCUAUGAGCCAACCACAGCCGUUGAGGUGAUGCUCCUCCAUGUUGUUAUUCUCCCCUCCAUCCAGCUUGAGGAGGUAGGAAGGAGCUGGCUGCAAACUAGUGGGACAUGCCUGUUAUGGCUGUCCUCUACUCCACCGAGGCACUGCUGUUUGCACAGAGCUGCAGCCUUUGACGGUGAAGGUAUUCCAGCCUGAGGUGCUGGCUCGUGUAUUGACACUGGUGCCCACCAGCAGAUGGUGGUUUUCCUUCACCCAUCGUGGAUGCCUGUGAUUGCCGCCACCCUUUGCAGAGCCUCCCAGUGCUAAUCUUUCCUGUCAGUGCGGGAGCGUCAGCUCCGUCCUGAGAAGACAUUUAGGUAAAACUGCAAGCACCUUC